UGAGUUUACCCUAAUUUUAUCCCCACCCAUCGAGCUCCAUUCACACUCCACACAAAUUCAAUGAGCGUGUUCCUCUAUCCGUUACCGAGUUGCUUCUUCUCUCCGUCGCACCAGCUUCUUCCACCGCUGUCGCCACAUUUCGCGUUGCAGGAUCUCUCUCUGUCAUCCUUGCGUCGCAUGGGCUCCCUCCACCGCUGCUCUCGUCGUGUCUGCAUCGAUUCGUAGAACUCAGCUCAACUCAACUCGGUGGAAACUCGGUGGUUAUUGUUGAAUGGCGAAGCUUGAAGCGAAGCACGGAAUGAUAGUGGACUCCGUUGGUAACUUCUCCGGCAAAGACCAGCUUCCCUGGUGUGACCCUGACAUCGUCGCUAUUCAUGGAGGAUCACAACACAGCUACCUUUCCUUCCAAAAAGCGUCAAAUGGAAAAAGGAUAUGAAGAAAUGUAUUAAGAAGGUUCGGACAAUGACAAGAACACCCUCCCGUUCUGCCGAAUGGCCGUUCCAUUCUAUGACACAACUACAUUCCCUUCCAAUUCUCAUUUCACUUUCCCUUCUUUCAUCUCUCUCUUUCUAUUUCCAUUUUAUUAUUAUUUUGUUUUUUAGAAUGCCUCGCCAUUUGAGUUUCACAUUCAUUUAAAGGUUCAUUCUUUAUUUUUUAAAUCUCUUCUUGGAAAUACUUGUUGAAGGAGGGGAAUUUUUGUUUUGGAAAAUGAAAGAGGAUGUGGAAUUGGUAUUUUGAGAUUUGUGUGGUGAUUUUGAAGAGAGAGGCGAUUCUUAAAGGAGAUGAAGACUUUGAUUGCGACAAUGUAUUUGCCAAGGAGCUUAAGAAUGCAGGCUUGGUUGUUGAGAGUUAUUGGCAAUUCAGAUGAGUUCUUCAAGGCAAGAAUUGUUGCAAGCACGUGAAAAAGCAUAAGAAAGAGCAAGUGAUUGCUUUGAAGCACUCUAUGCAAAGUGGAAUGGCACAGGCAAUGAUAGAGUAAGCUCAACUGAGGGAGGAAAUGGCAUACCAAUACAAGCUUGGUAACUUUGAGGCUGCUGCUGCAAUCCAGAGAAGGUUGGAUCCUGAUGCUGCUUUAUAGUUGGAUAUAGCUUCCAUGAAUAAAUAUAGAGAAAAGAGCUUUCUGAUCAAAGAAUUUGGUGACAGUUUCAUGGCGAUCAUGCCUUCAUGACAAACAUCAAUGUAGAUUAUGAAUUGUUAUGGUUACAGGAGCGCCAUCUUGGAGAUAUGAAUAAGCAACUUAGGCUCAAGCUUGAGGCAGAAGGGUUCAAUCUAAAAGCUAUGGAAAGCUUGUGGAGUUUAACUUCAGCUGCUACAAAUAGCAACUUUACCUUUCAGCCUUCUCAAACCAAUAACCCUUAUAU